rnacentral:rRNA from 1 species
UACGUAGGGUGCUAGCGUUGUCCGGAAUUACUGGGCGUAAAGCGUGCGCAGGCGGUUAUAUAAGACAGUUGUGAAAUCCCCGGGCUCAACCUGGGAACUGCAUCUGUGACUGUAUAGCUAGAGUACGGUAGAGGGGGAUGGAAUUCCGCGUGUAGCAGUGAAAUGCGUAGAUAUGCGGAGGAACACCGAUGGCGAAGGCAAUCCCCUGGACCUGUACUGACGCUCAUGCACGAAAGCGUGGGGAGCAAACAGG